ACAAUGAAGAGUUUGAUCCUGGCUCAGGAUGAACGCUAGCUACAGGCUUAACACAUGCAAGUCGAGGGGCAUCAGGAAGAAAGCUUGCUUUCUUUGCUGGCGACCGGCGCACGGGUGAGUAACACGUAUCCAACCUGCCCUUUACUCGGGGAUAGCCUUUCGAAAGAAAGAUUAAUACCCGAUAGCAUAAUGAUUCCGCAUGGUUUCAUUAUUAAAGGAUUCCGGUAAAGGAUGGGGAUGCGUUCCAUUAGGUUGUUGGUGAGGUAACGGCUCACCAAGCCUUCGAUGGAUAGGGGUUCUGAGAGGAAGGUCCCCCACAUUGGAACUGAGACACGGUCCAAACUCCUACGGGAGGCAGCAGUGAGGAAUAUUGGUCAAUGGGCGCUAGCCUGAACCAGCCAAGUAGCGUGAAGGAUGAAGGCUCUAUGGGUCGUAAACUUCUUUUAUAUAAGAAUAAAGUGCAGUAUGUAUACUGUUUUGUAUGUAUUAUAUGAAUAAGGAUCGGCUAACUCCGUGCCAGCAGCCGCGGUAAUACGGAGGAUCCGAGCGUUAUCCGGAUUUAUUGGGUUUAAAGGGAGCGUAGGUGGACUGGUAAGUCAGUUGUGAAAGUUUGCGGCUCAACCGUAAAAUUGCAGUUGAUACUGUCAGUCUUGAGUACAGUAGAGGUGGGCGGAAUUCGUGGUGUAGCGGUGAAAUGCUUAGAUAUCACGAAGAACUCCGAUUGCGAAGGCAGCUCACUGGACUGCAACUGACACUGAUGCUCGAAAGUGUGGGUAUCAAACAGGAUUAGAUACCCUGGUAGUCCACACAGUAAACGAUGAAUACUCGCUGUUUGCGAUAUACAGUAAGCGGCCAAGCGAAAGCAUUAAGUAUUCCACCUGGGGAGUACGCCGGCAACGGUGAAACUCAAAGGAAUUGACGGGGGCCCGCACAAGCGGAGGAACAUGUGGUUUAAUUCGAUGAUACGCGAGGAACCUUACCCGGGCUUAAAUUGCAGUGGAAUGAUGUGGAAACAUGUCAGUGAGCAAUCACCGCUGUGAAGGUGCUGCAUGGUUGUCGUCAGCUCGUGCCGUGAGGUGUCGGCUUAAGUGCCAUAACGAGCGCAACCCUUAUCUUUAGUUACUAACAGGUUAUGCUGAGGACUCUAGAGAGACUGCCGUCGUAAGAUGUGAGGAAGGUGGGGAUGACGUCAAAUCAGCACGGCCCUUACGUCCGGGGCUACACACGUGUUACAAUGGGGGGGUACAGAAGGCAGCUAGCGGGUGACCGUAUGCUAAUCCCAAAAUCCUCUCUCAGUUCGGAUCGAAGUCUGCAACCCGACUUCGUGAAGCUGGAUUCGCUAGUAAUCGCGCAUCAGCCACGGCGCGGUGAAUACGUUCCCGGGCCUUGUACACACCGCCCGUCAAGCCAUGGGAGCCGGGGGUACCUGAAGUACGUAACCGCAAGGAUCGUCCUAGGGUAAAACUGGUGACUGGGGCUAAGUCGUAACAAGGUAGCCGUACCGGAAGGUGCGGCUGGAACACCUCCUUU
rnacentral:rRNA from 1 species